rnacentral:rRNA from 1 species
CACGUAGGCACCAAGCGUUGUCCGGAUUUAUUGGGCGUAAAGAGCUCGUAGGCGGUUGAGUAAGUCGGGUGUGAAAACUCUGGGCUUAACCCAGAGCCGCCACCCGAUACUGCUCUGACUUGAGGGCGGUAGGGGCUGGUGGAAUGCCUGGUGUAGUGGUGAAAUGCGUAGAGAUCAGGCAGAACACCGGUGGCGAAGGCGGCAUCCUGGACCAAUACUGACGCUGAGGAGCGAAAGCCAGGGGAGCAAACGGG